rnacentral:rRNA from 1 species
GCAGGCGUGCAACCCGCCCUGCAUGAAGUCGGAAUUGCUAGUAAUCGCGGAUCAGCAUGCCGCGGUGAAUACGUUCCCGGGCCUUGUACACACCGCCCGUCACACCAUGGGAGCCGGUAAUACCCGAAGUCAGUAGUCCAGCCACGUGAGGACGCUGCCGAAGGUAGGAUUGGCGACUGGGGUGAAGUCGUAACAAGGUACC